UAUUUAGGGUGGUAGGGGGGUAAGUCUGGAAAGGUAGGUUAGGUCUAAUUUCUGGAGGGUUGGACUUUGAGAACUGGCUGAUAAGAUUGGCCAUUUGUCCUUAGGCAAUGGAGAGCAAGGAAAGAUUUAUGGAGCAGAAAGUUAUAUGAUCCACAUGUGCUUUGGAAGAAGUUUGCCUGUAUUGGAAAGGAUAGAGUCUUGUGGAAAGGAGUUUAGGUAGAAGAUUUUGGUUACAGAAUCACGAAGAUCCGACAACUGAUUAAAUGUGGAUGGGGGACAAGGCGGGGAAGAUGAAGUCAAAGAGGCAUCUGAAGAAAAGGAAGAUAUUUUUGGAACAGGAUGGAAAAUAGACCUAAUCAUGGAUGUCAACACCAACCAAAUGGCAGGGAUGGCCUGGAGUGCCGAGAGCAGGAUUGUAUGGCACCAUGGAAAAGAACUGAUAGCUCUGAUUGAUUACUGAUGUCUUCCAUGGGCAACUUCAUGUACUGCUUGUGAUGCAUGACUCCCGACACACAGACCGAGUGAAGGAGCCAACAUCGAUUCAUGUGAAUGAUAAGGAUUGAGUUCCUAGCCUGGCAAAAAGAAAAACUGCUCAGCUUCUCCUCAAUAUGCCUUCAUGACCCUGAGAAGUAAGUCUAGUCUUCAUGAUGGACCUCUUUUUUGUCUGACUAUGGAUCAGUGACUACGCACACAGUAGAUGCUUCGUUCAUGCUCAAUAAACAAAUUAAUGGAAGACGGUUUCACUUCCUCUCACAGAAAAUAUAAUCCCUUGGAUUUUCUAACCUGUAGGAUUAGAAAUCCUAUGUCCCCAGUAAUUGACAACUGAUGUCUUUAUUAUAG
rnacentral:lncRNA from 1 species